rnacentral:rRNA from 1 species
ACACGUAGAUAAUCUAUCCUAUACUGGGGGAUAGCCCGAUGAAAGUUGGAUUAAUACCGCAUAUAGCUAUAUAGUUGCAUGAUUAUGUAGUGAAAGAUUUAUUGGUAUAGGAGGAGUCUGCGGCACAUUAGCUAGUAGGUGAGGUAAAGGCUUACCUAGGCGACGAUGUGUAGCCGGUCUGAGAGGAUGAACGGCCACAAUGGAACUGAGACACGGUCCAUACUCCUACGGGAGGCAGCAGUGGGGAAUAUUGCACAAUGGGGGAAACCCUGAUGCAGCAACGCCGCGUGAGUGAAGAAGGUUUUCGGAUUGUAAAGCUCUGUUAGCAGGGAAGAGGAAGGACGGUACCUGCAGAGGAAGCCACGGCUAACUACGUGCCAGCAGCCGCGGUAAUACGUAGGUGGCAAGCGUUGUUCGGAAUAACUGGGCGUAAAGGAUGCGUAGGCGGUUAAACAAGUUAUAUGUUAAAUAUAUAGGCUUAACCUGUAGAAAGCAUAUAAAACUGUUUAACUAGAGUGCAGGAGAGGUAAGUGGAAUUCCUAGUGUAGCGGUGAAAUGCGU